GAUGAACGCUGGCGGCGUGCCUAAUACAUGCAAGUAGAACGCUGAAGCUUGGUGCUUGCACCGAGCGGAUGAGUUGCGAACGGGUGAGUAACGCGUAGGUAACCUGCCUGGUAGCGGGGGAUAACUAUUGGAAACGAUAGCUAAUACCGCAUAACAGUAGAUAUUGCAUGAUAUCUGCUUGAAAGGGGCAAUUGCUCCACUACCAGAUGGACCUGCGUUGUAUUAGCUAGUUGGUGAGGUAACGGCUCACCAAGGCGACGAUACAUAGCCGACCUGAGAGGGUGAUCGGCCACACUGGGACUGAGACACGGCCCAGACUCCUACGGGAGGCAGCAGUAGGGAAUCUUCGGCAAUGGACGGAAGUCUGACCGAGCAACGCCGCGUGAGUGAAGAAGGUUUUCGGAUCGUAAA
rnacentral:rRNA from 1 species